GUUUAAAAUGUCCAGGAUUGAGAAGGGGCUGGGCCUAGUGGAGACAGGCUUGCAAACCUCCCCCAAAGACUCCAGGCCUACAGCUGCCAUGCUCCAGUGCGGACAGACAAUCGGACGGCAGGGCCACUCUGAGCAAGCAAGGGAGCCCAGAGCCGCUGUUGGCCCUGCCCACCAACUGGCCAGAGGGAAGGCCUUCUGUGAUUUGUGGGGGCUGCAUCAUUCCUCUCUCCAGAAGAUCUUCUCUCUUCUAAGGGCAUCAAGACAUUUUAGAGCCACUCAGCUCAGCUCCCAGCUUCCUUGAGAUCCCACGGCACCUGCAGCCCUGCUGGCCCAUUCUGCACUGCCCGCUCAUGAAGCUGUCUCUCCUUUCUUAGCCAGUAGUAAGCCUCCCCACCAGGCCCGUGGACUCCGUGGGAGGUGAGCUCCAGAAGGGAAGGGAGUUCUUUCACAGCUUUCUGUCUCUGUAUCUCCUGUGACUUGAAUGGACUCAGCACACAGCAGGCCUGAGUGAAGGAUGCUUGUGGUUGCUAUGGCUUACAUGACAACGAAUUGUCUGUAAUCCUACAGGACUAUGGCACAUGAAAGCUGGAAGCGCUUCUUUCCGACUGCAUCGCCCAGCACCAGAGCCCGAGUUCUGUAAAGCUCUGUUAAAGGCACAUGAGCUGUGCUGGCUUCAACUGCCCUGAACUUGGAUAAGCUGGGCCGCUGAUGGACCCUUCCCAACCGGUUGUUGCUGCCUUGGUUUCCCGACAGUCCACUGUGCUGACCCUGCAGCAGGGACUCCCAGCUUUGCAUCAACUCCAUUCAACACCUACUGUGUGCAGGGACCAGAGGGUGUGGAGGUGGCAUUCCCUGCUUUAUCUUGAUAAGUAAACGUUUGUCUCCUGCCCACUCAUCAGUGAAGCAGAACAACUACCUAGCAGUCUCCUGGGAGCCACCCCUCCAGAACCUCUGGAUGUCAACAGACACCAUCUACUUAUAGGAUUCAGCCAGCACAUGUGUAGACUGGAGCUGCAGGAUGGUCAUCAAAUGAAAGGAGUCCCUGGAGAAACUAUUACCUGGUCCCCACAGGAGUUAACCUGACUGCCCAAGUUCACCAGUCAGCAGCCUAGCGUGUCACCUUGUGAGUUAAAAUGCGUUUAAA
rnacentral:lncRNA from 1 species